AGCCAUUUUGGGAGCUUGCUCCCAUUGGUUAGCGGCGGACGGGUGAGUACACGUGGGCAACCUGCCUGUAAGACUGGGAUAACUUCGGGAAACCGGAGCUAAUACCGGAUAAUUCAUUUCCUCUCAUGAGGAAAUGCUAAAAGUCGGUUUCGGCUGACACUUACAGAUGGGCCUGCGGCGCAUUAGCUAGUUGGUGAGGUAACGGCUCACCAAGGCGACGAUGCGUAGCCGACCUGAGAGGGUGAUCGGCCACACUGGGACUGAGACACGGCCCAGACUCCUACGGGAGGCAGCAGUAGGGAAUCUUCCACAAUGGACGAAAGUCUGAUGGAGCAACGCCGCGUGAGCGAUGAAGGCCUUCGGGUCGUAAAGCUCUGUUGUUAGGGAAGAACAAGUACCGGAGUAACUGUCGGUACCUUGACGGUACCUAACCAGAAAGCCACGGCUAACUACGUGCCAGCAGCCGCGGUAAU
rnacentral:rRNA from 1 species